rnacentral:rRNA from 1 species
ACAAGCGGUGGAGCAUGUGGUUUAAUUCGACGCAACGCGAAGAACCUUACCCGGGCUUGAACGUGCAGUGGUACCUGCCUGAAAGGGCGUGGGACCCCUUCGGGGGAGCUGUGCGAGGUGCUGCAUGGCUGUCGUCAGCUCGUGCUGUGAGGUGUUGGGUUAAGUCCCGCAACGAGCGCAACCCUCGACCUUAGUUGCCAGCAUUCAGUUGGGCACUCUAAGGUGACUGCCGGCUAAAAGUCGGAGGAAGGUGGGGAUGACGUCAAAUCAUCAUGCCCCUUAUGACCUGGGCUACACACGUGCUACAAUGGGCGGUACAAAGGGUCGCGAACCCGCGAGGGGGAGCCAAUCCCAAAAAGCCGCUCUCAGUUCGGAUUGCAGGCUGCAACUCGCCUGCAUGAAGCCGGAAUCGCUAGUAAUCGCGGAUCAGCAUGCCGCGGUGAAUACGUUCCCGGGCCUU